rnacentral:rRNA from 1 species
GAUGAACGCUAGCGGCAGGCUUAAUACAUGCAAGUCGAGGGGCAGCACAGGUAGCAAUACUGGGUGGCGACCGGCAAACGGGUGCGGAACACGUACGCAACCUUCCCAAAACUGGUGAAUAGCCCUCCGAAAGGAGGAUUAAUACACCGUACCAUAGCGACGAGGCAUCUCGUUGCUAUUAUAGUAGCAAUACGGUUUUGGAUGGGCGUGCGCCUGAUUAGGUAGUUGGUGUGGGUAACGGCCCACCAAGCCUUCGAUCAGUAACUGGUGUGAGAGCACGACCAGUCACACGGGCACUGAGACACGGGCCCGACUCCUACGGGAGGCAGCAGUAAGGAAUAUUGGUCAAUGGACGCAAGUCUGAACCAGCCAUGCCGCGUGAAGGAUGACGGCCCUCUGGGUUGUAAACUUCUUUUAUCUGGGACGAAAAACGGGCUUUCUAGCUCACUUGACGGUACCAGAGGAAUAAGCACCGGCUAACUCCGUGCCAGCAGCCGCGGUAAUACGGAGGGUGCAAGCGUUAUCCGGAUUUACUGGGUUUAAAGGGUGCGUAGGUGGGUAGGUAAGUCAGUGGUGAAAUCUUCAAGCUUAACUUGGAAACUGCCAUUGAUACUAUUUAUCUUGAAUAUCCCGGAGGUAAGCGGAAUAUGUCAUGUAGCGGUGAAAUGCUUAGAUAUGACAUAGAACACCCAUUGCGAAGG